GUCCAUGAAAUAAAAAGCCGGAACGUAUUGCGAAACUAAACAAAAAUAGAGAAGAUUAGCAUAGCCCCUGCGCACGGACGACGCGCAAAUUCGAGAAGUGUUCCUCAUUUCC